rnacentral:tRNA from 1 species
GGUACUGUACUUUAAAGUUUAGAAGUUCUGGUUUGCAUCCAGAGAGUAGGUAUACAUCUCAGGACCA